rnacentral:misc_RNA from 1 species
UUGUUUUUGUUAAGAUAACAAGACGUUCGUUACACUGAUGUUUGUAUUGUUAGACCCGGAGGUCAUACGGUUCACAGAGGUGAGGGAUGUUAAGAUAAGACCUUUCGGUCAAUCAUUAAUGAUCCUUCCGCAGGUUCACCUACGGAAA